GGACGUGCGGCGCGGCGCGGUCGGCGCGAUCGGGUUCGCGGCGCCCGACGAUGCGUCCACCAUCCACGCACUGUUCGCCGCGCUGCGCGACCGC
rnacentral:tRNA from 1 species